CGGUGUUUAACUGGCGUGAUGUGGGACGUCCUACCGGUGGGCUUAGCCUCGCGAGGGGCGGCCCAACUAAUAUCCCGUCGCGGUGCUCUUUACUGAGUGUCGAGUCGGGCCGGUACGUUUACUUUGAACAAAUUAGAGUGCUUAACGCAGGCUAUCCUCGCCUGAAUACUGCGUGCAUGGAAUAAUGGAAUAGGACCUCGGUUCUAUUUUGUUGGUUUUCGGAACCCCGAGGUAAUGAUUAAUAGGGACAGAUGGGGGCAUUCGUAUUGCGACGUUAGAGGUGAAAUUCUUGGAUCGUCGCAAGACGGACAGAAGCGAAAGCAUUUGCCAAAAAUGUUUUCAUUAAUCAAGAACGAAAGUUAGAGGUUCGAAGGCGAUCAGAUACCGCCCUAGUUCUAACCAUAAACGAUGCCAGCUAGCGAUCCGCCGAAGUUCCUCCGAUGACUCGGCGGGCAGCUUCCGGGAAACCAAAGCUUUUGGGUUCCGGGGGAAGUAUGGUUGCAAAGCUGAAACUUAAAGGAAUUGACGGAAGGGCACCACCAGGAGUGGAGCCUGCGGCUUAAUUUGACUCAACACGGGAAACCUCACCAGGCCCAGACACCGGAAGGAUUGACAGAUUGAUAGCUCUUUCUUGAUUCGGUGGGUGGUGGUGCAUGGCCGUUCUUAGUUGGUGGAGCGAUUUGUCUGGUUAAUUCCGAUAACGAACGAGACUCUAGCCUGCUAAAUAGGCGUACCUUAUGGUAUCGCGAAGGCCCCCGGCUUCGGCCGGUGGGUUUUUACUACCAACGUACAAACAAAUCUUCUUAGAGGGACAGGCGG
rnacentral:rRNA from 1 species